GAAUGAGCCAAAUUAAAACAUAACUAGUUUAAUAUGUAAUCUAGUUUAACUGUUUACUGUUAUGCACUAAAUGCACUGUUCUAGAGGAUCUGAACAAUCAUUUGAUGACCUAACGUCUAAGGAGAGAAUGAGAAAGUGCAGUCUUUAAUUUAUUCUAUAUGGACACAGACCAGCUAACUGGGGAGCUCUAAUCUAUGAGACAGAGGAUAUUAGACAAAUGUGCUUUAAGCUUCAAACUUGCAAGUGCUCCUGGAUUGUGUGGAGGUCAGGUUACCUUGCAGAACUCCUCAGAUAAUGGCAAAGAUGGGAAAAUAUUCCCAAGUUCCACAAGUGCAGAAAAAAUGAGGGCUUUAAGUCCUUUCAGAGCUUUAAAUGUUUCUUUAGAAUAUGAAGAGAAAGAUUCAAAGUUAUCUUUAUAUAUUCUGAAAUUUUGUAUUGUAAUUGAUAAAGUAAUGUUUCAGAUACUACUUCCAUAAUCUGACUAAAGUUACUAUUUUCUUAAGAAUGAAAAGAAACCAGUAGAAGUUCUUUUGUUUUCCAUUCCCCAUUUUUUUUGUGAAGAUUGCAUCAAAGAAAUACAUGCAGCCUGCAAUACUUGCCAGUGACCUUCUUUAUGGACAUUUUGGAAGAAGCUACAAACCAAAUUGCUCUGGCCAUAUAAGGCCACUUCUGCCACAUAAAUUUAUUAAGGAUUGACAGAAAAUGGUGUCUGGGAACAGUUUUCAGCCACCCAAACAAUUUCUGCAACUUGCAGCUGUGUCUGUUCCCCACUCUCUCACCAAGGAUUGGAUUUCCAGUCUGUAUUGAAUCUUCUGUACCGCAUUUGUACCAUAGACCUGUAACGUGAACAAAGGAGUCCUCGUGUUCAAAUUUUCUCCGUGCUUGUAGCAAGCUGUUUGGGCUAUUCAGCUGGAAGCAUUGUAGAUCACUGGACCACACAGAUUACAUUUUUAGCUUAGCUGUUACGACACGUUAUUUUUAACUAUUGGGGUGUGAGAUAAUGUCAGAACAGGAUUCUACCCUCCAGGGUAUCGUGUAUCACAUUACUGAUAAGCCCUUCACCAACAGAAAUAUCAGCUAUUUGAGAGUGACGUGAUCUUUCUCCUUAGUCCGUGGCACAAAAAAAAGUAAAA